rnacentral:rRNA from 1 species
CCUACGGGAGGCUGCAGUGAGGAAUAUUGGUCAAUGGACGAGAGUCUGAACCAGCCAAGUAGCGUGAAGGAUGACUGCCCUCUGGGUUGUAAACUUCUUUUAUAAAGGAAUAAAACGAGGCACGUGUGUCUUUUUGCAUGUACUUUAUGAAUAAGGAUCGGCUAACUCCGGUCCAGCAGCCGCGGUAAUUCGGAGGAUUCGAGCUUUAUACGGAUUUAUUGGGUUUAAAGGGAGCGUAGAUGGGUUGAUAAGUCAGUAGUGAAAGUUUGGGGCGCAACCGGAAAAUUGCAAGUGAUACUGGCAGUCUUGAGUACAGUUGAGGUAGUCGGAAGUCGGGGUGUAGCGGUGAAAUGCUUAGAUAUCACGAAGAACCCCGAUUGCGAAGGCAGCUUACUAAACUGUGACUGACAUUGAUGCUCGAAAGUGUGGGUAUCAAACAGGAUUAGAUACCCUAGUAGUC